rnacentral:rRNA from 1 species
UACAGAGGUCUCAAGCGUUGUUCGGAUUCAUUGGGCGUAAAGGGUGCGUAGGUGGCGCGGUAAGUCGGGUGUGAAAUUUCGGAGCUUAACUCCGAAACUGCAUUCGAUACUGCCGUGCUUGAGGACUGGAGAGGAGACUGGAAUUCACAGUGGAGCAGUGAAAUGCGUAGAUAUUGUGAGGAACACUAGUGGCGAAGGCGAAUCUCUGGACAGUUCCUGACGCUGAGGCACGAAGGCCAGGGGAGCAAACGGG